UAAUUGAAGAGUUUGAUCAUGGCUCAGAUUGAACGCUGGCGGCAGGCCUAACACAUGCAAGUCGAGCGGCAGCACAGAGGAACUUGUUCCUUGGGUGGCGAGCGGCGGACGGGUGAGUAAUGCCUGGGAAAUUGCCCGGUAGAGGGGGAUAACCAUUGGAAACGAUGGCUAAUACCGCAUAACCUCGCAAGAGCAAAGCAGGGGACCUUCG
rnacentral:rRNA from 1 species